AUAUUUCUUACGACCAUAUCCCUCAUCAUCAUCACCACGCCUCUCAGAACCAUAGCUCGGUUUCUCCUCAUCAUCACUCCUUCCAUAGCUAGUUUUCCUCCCAUAGCUUGGCUUCUCCUCGUCAUCACUCCUUCCAUAGCUAGGUUUCCUCUCAUACUCAGUCCUCCCAUAGCUCGGCUUCUCCUCAUCAUCACUCCUUCCAUAGCUAGGUUUCCUCUCAUAUUCACUCCUCCCAUAGCUUGGCUUCUCCUCCUCAUCACUCCUCCCAUAGCUUGGCUUCUCCUCCUCAUCACUCCGUCCAUAGCUAGUUUUCCUGCCAUAGCUCGGCUUCUCCUCCUCAUCACUCCUUCCAUAGCUAGGCUUCCUCUCAUACUCACUCCUUCCUCCUCCAUACCCUUCUUCCUCCCCAUAACCACUCUUCUUCCUCCCCGAUCCAUACUCCGAUUCACCACUCUCAUACUCAUUCUUCCGCCCAUAACCCUCACUCUCCUCCUCAUUCUUUCUCCCACCAUAACCAGACCCAUAUCCAGAUUCUUGCUUCCUUCCACCAUAACCAGACCCAUAACCACUUUCCUCAUUCUUUCUACCAUAUUCAGACUCCUGGGCCCCACCAUAUCCUGACCCAUAUCCAGAUUCUUGCUUCCUCCCACCAUAACCAGACCCAUAUUCACUUUCCUCAUUCUUUCUCCCAUAC
rnacentral:lncRNA from 1 species